UAGGGAAUCUUCCACAAUGGGCGAAAGCCUGAUGGAGCGACACCGCGUGAAGGAAGAAGCUUUUCGGAGUGUAAACUUCUUUUCUGAGGGAGCAACGUUGUUGAGAGUACCUCAGGAAUAAGCACCGGCUAACUACGUGCCAGCAGCCGCGGUAAUACGUAGGGUGCAAGCGUUACCCGGAAUCACUGGGCGUAAAGCGUUUGUAGGUGGUUUUGUAAGUAAAAUAUGAAAUAUCCGAGCUUAACUUGGAGAAUGGUAUUUUAAACUGCAUGACUGGAGAUUGGCAGAGGCAAGUGGAAUUCACGGUGUAGGGGUAAAAUCCGUUGAUAUCGUGAGGAACACCAAAAGCGAAGGCAUCUUGCUGGGCCAUUUCUGACACUGAGAAACGAAAGCGUGGGGAGCAAAAAGG
rnacentral:rRNA from 1 species